rnacentral:rRNA from 1 species
AGUGAACGCUGGCGGUAGGCCUAACACAUGCAAGUCGAACGGCAGCACAGUAAGAGCUUGCUCUUACGGGUGGCGAGUGGCGGACGGGUGAGGAAUACAUCGGAAUCUACUUUUUCGUGGGGGAUAACGUAGGGAAACUUACGCUAAUACCGCAUACGACCUACGGGUGAAAGCAGGGGAUCUUCGGACCUUGCGCGAUUGAAUGAGCCGAUGUCGGAUUAGCUAGUUGGCGGGGUAAAGGCCCACCAAGGCGACGGUCCGUAGCUGGUCUGAGAGGAGGGUCAGCCACACUGGAACUGGAACACGGUCCAGACUCCUACGGGAGGGAGCAGAGGGGAAUGUUGGACAGGGGGCGGAAGCCUGGUCCAACCCUACCGCGUGGGUUGAAGAAGCCUUGGGGUUGGAAAGCCCUUUUGUUGGGAAAGAAAAGCAGCAGGUUAAUACCCCGCUGUUCUGACGGUACCCAAAGAAUAAGCACCGGCUAACUUCGUG